rnacentral:rRNA from 1 species
GACGAACGCUGGCGGCGUGCCUAGUACAUGCAAGUAGAACGCUGAAGGAGGAGCUUGCUUCUCUGGAUGAGUUGCGAACGGGUGAGUAACGCGUAGGUAACCUGCCUGGUAGCGGGGGAUAACUAUUGGAAACGAUAGCUAAUACCGCAUAAUAGUAGAUGUUGCAUGACAUUUGCUUAAAAGGUGCAAUUGCAUCACUACCAGAUGGACCUGCGUUGUAUUAGCUAGUUGGUGAGGUAACGGCUCACCAAGGCGACGAUACAUAGCCGACCUGAGAGGGUGAUCGGCCACACUGGGACUGAGACACGGCCCAGACUCCUACGGGAGGCAGCAGUAGGGAAUCUUCGGCAAUGGACGGAAGUCUGACCGAGCAACGCCGCGUGAGUGAAGAAGGUUUUCGGAUCGUAAAGCUCUGUUGUAAGAGAAGAACGAGUGUGAGAGUGGAAAGUUUACACUGUGACGGUAUCUUACCAGAAAGGGACGGCUAACUACGUG